GCUCUCAAGUCCACGGCUCCAGAGUUCCUCCCGACAGGAAUCUGUUCUGAAUAAAAAGGCAUCCGCAAAGGCUAGGCUGGCUAAGUUCAGAGAGAAAAUCUACAGCAAUCCUGAGCUACUUGAGGAGUACAGACGGACAGAGAGAGGUAUCACAAACGUAAGGAGAGUGGUAAAGUGAAGACUGUCAAGGACCUUACGAAAAGAGAGCAUGAGAAAAAAAAACUCAAGUGGAGACAAUAUUCAGCGCAAAGCUACAAGAACAAAAAUCAAACCCAAUGUGUUCUCAAUCUCACUCCAGAUUCUUCUGUGAGUGAAUUAAGUGAUUCUUCAGCAAUAGCUGAAGUAAAUAAGCCAACACCUGAGGAUCACGUAUCAAUACAAGACGAUGUACCAACACCACCACUGCAGUCAUCAACCCCAAAGGGAAGCACAAUCAGAAAGAAAUCAAAAGUUAUCAACAGAUUGAGGACCAAACUGAGACAGGCAGAAGAGGAAUUGAAAAAAAAACAGAAAAGAAAUGCAGAAUCUCAACAAGAAAUUUAGGAGAGUUCAAGCACAAAGGGUGACUGUGACCAAGCAGAUUGCCACGACCACAAAAAAAAAAAAAAAAAA